rnacentral:tRNA from 1 species
AACAUUAUAGUUUAAUAAAAAAUAUUGAAUUUGCGUUUCAAAGAUGGAUAUGUUUCUUUUGUUA